rnacentral:rRNA from 1 species
AUUGAACGCUGGCGGCAUGCCUUACACAUGCAAGUCGAACGGCAGCACGGGAGCAAUCCUGGUGGCGAGUGGCGAACGGGUGAGUAAUGUAUCGGAACGUACCCAGUCGUGGGGGAUAACGUAGCGAAAGCUACGCUAAUACCGCAUACGAUCUAUGGAUGAAAGCGGGGGAUCGCAAGACCUCGCGCGAUUGGAGCGGCCGAUAUCAGAUUAGGUAGUUGGUGAGGUAAAGGCUCACCAAGCCGACGAUCUGUAGCUGGUCUGAGAGGACGACCAGCCACACUGGGACUGAGACACGGCCCAGACUCCUACGGGAGGCAGCAGUGGGGAAUUUUGGACAAUGGGCGCAAGCCUGAUCCAGCAAUGCCGCGUGCAGGAUGAAGGCCUUCGGGUUGUAAACUGCUUUUGUACGGAGCGAAAAGGCUCUCUCUAAUACAGGGGGCUCAUGACGGUACCGUAAGAAUAAGCACCGGCUAACUACGUGCCAGCCGCCGCAGUAAUAC